rnacentral:rRNA from 1 species
UACGUAGGGCGCAAGCGUUGUCCGGAAUUAUUGGGCGUAAAGAGCUCGUAGGUGGCUUAGUAAGUCGGGUGUGAAACCUCCAGGCUCAACCUGGAGACGCCACCCGAUACUGCUAUAGCUUGAGUCCGGUAGGGGAGCGUGGAAUUCCUGGUGUAGCGGUGAAAUGCGCAGAUAUCAGGAGGAACACCAGCGGCGAAGGCGGCGCUCUGGGCCGGUACUGACACUGAGGAGCGAAAGCGUGGGGAGCAAACAGG